GAUGAACGCUGGCGGCGUGCCUAAUACAUGCAAGUCGAGCGAACGGACGAGAAGCUUGCUUCUCUGAUGUUAGCGGCGGACGGGUGAGUAACACGUGGAUAACCUACCUAUAAGACUGGGAUAACUUCGGGAAACCGGAGCUAAUACCGGAUAAUAUUUUGAACCGCAUGGUUCAAAAGUGAAAGACGGUCUUGCUGUCACUUAUAGAUGGAUCCGCGCUGCAUUAGCUAGUUGGUAAGGUAACGGCUUACCAAGGCAACGAUGCAUAGCCGACCUGAGAGGGUGAUCGGCCACACUGGAACUGAGACACGGUCCAGACUCCUACGGGAGGCAGCAGUAGGGAAUCUUCCGCAAUGGGCGAAAGCCUGACGGAGCAACGCCGCGUGAGUGAUGAAGGUCUUCGGAUCGUAAAACUCUGUUAUUAGGGAAGAACAUAUGUGUAAGUAACUGUGCACAUCUUGACGGUACCUAAUCAGAAAGCCACGGCUAACUACGUGCCAGCAGCCGCGGUAAUACGUAGGUGGCAAGCGUUAUCCGGAAUUAUUGGGCGUAAAGCGCGCGUAGGCGGUUUUUUAAGUCUGAUGUGAAAGCCCACGGCUCAACCGUGGAGGGUCAUUGGAAACUGGAAAACUUGAGUGCAGAAGAGGAAAGUGGAAUUCCAUGUGUAGCGGUGAAAUGCGCAGAGAUAUGGAGGAACACCAGUGGCGAAGGCGACUUUCUGGUCUGUAACUGACGCUGAUGUGCGAAAGCGUGGGGAUCAAACAGGAUUAGAUACCCUGGUAGUCCACGCCGUAAACGAUGAGUGCUAAGUGUUAGGGGGUUUCCGCCCCUUAGUGCUGCAGCUAACGCAUUAAGCACUCCGCCUGGGGAGUACGACCGCAAGGUUGAAACUCAAAGGAAUUGACGGGGACCCGCACAAGCGGUGGAGCAUGUGGUUUAAUUCGAAGCAACGCGAAGAACCUUACCAAAUCUUGACAUCCUUUGACAACUCUAGAGAUAGAGCUUUCCCCUUCGGGGGACAAAGUGACAGGUGGUGCAUGGUUGUCGUCAGCUCGUGUCGUGAGAUGUUGGGUUAAGUCCCGCAACGAGCGCAACCCUUAAGCUUAGUUGCCAUCAUUAAGUUGGGCACUCUAAGUUGACUGCCGGUGACAAACCGGAGGAAGGUGGGGAUGACGUCAAAUCAUCAUGCCCCUUAUGAUUUGGGCUACACACGUGCUACAAUGGACAAUACAAAGGGCAGCGAAACCGCGAGGUCAAGCAAAUCCCAUAAAGUUGUUCUCAGUUCGGAUUGUAGUCUGCAACUCGACUACAUGAAGCUGGAAUCGCUGGUAAUCGUGGAUCAGCAUGCUACGGUGAAUACGUUCCCGGGUCU
rnacentral:rRNA from 1 species